AAGGCUUUAGCUUAAUUAAAGUGUCUGGGUUGCAUUCAGAAGAUGCGGGAUAAUAACCUGCAAGUUUUA
rnacentral:tRNA from 1 species